rnacentral:tRNA from 1 species
GGGCGAUUAGCUCAGCUGGGAGAGCGCUUCCCUUACAAGGAAGAUGUCGGCGGUUCGAGCCCGUCAUCGCCCA